rnacentral:rRNA from 1 species
UGGGGAAUAUUGGACAAUGGGCGCAAGCCUGAUCCAGCCAUGCCGCGUGAGUGAUGAAGGCCCUAGGGUUGUAAAGCUCUUUCACCGGUGAAGAUAAUGACGGUAACCGGAGAAGAAGCCCCGGCUAACUUCGUGCCAGCAGCCGCGGUAAUACGAAGGGGGCUACCGUUGUUCGGAUUUACUGGGCGUAAAGCGCACGUAGGCGGACUUUUAAGUCAGGGGUGAAAUCCCGGGGCUCAACCCCGGAACUGCCUUUGAUACUGGAAGUCUUGAGUAUGGUAGAGGUGAGUGGAAUUCCGAGUGUAGAGGUGAAAUUCGUAGAUAUUCGGAGGAACACCAGUGGCGAAGGCGGCUCACUGGACCAUUACUGACGCUGAGGUGCGAAAGCGUGGGGAGCAAACAGG